AUGACUGACAACUAUGUUGAUUUCAUUCGGUCUCAUGCAGAUGAUCUCAGUACAGCCGAUCAUCACUAUCGGUAUGAUAUUUUUACAGUUGCAGUUGACCAACAACUACAUGAACUAAACUGCAGGUUCAGCGAACAAGCAACAGAGAUUCUCAUCCUCUGCAAUUCUUUGAAUCCCAAGGACUCAUUUAGUUCAUUGAACAUUGAUGAUGUAUGUUCUCUCGCCUCAAAAUACUACCCCGCUGACUUUUCAGAACAGGAAAGAAACAAUUUGAGAUGUCAACUACAACAUUAUGAGCUUGAUGUACCUACAAAUCCAAGGUUUCAGAAUCUGUCAAGUGUAGGAGAUCUUUGUCAACAACUUGCAAAAACAGGAAAAUCAGUGGAUUAUUAUUUGAUUGACAGGUUAAUUCGACUUGUUCUCACUUUGCCUGUCUCAACCGCAACAACAAAACGUGCAUUUUCGGCAAUGAAAGUUGUUAAAAGAAGACUCCGAAUAAAAUGGAAGACAUGUUUCUAA
rnacentral:rRNA from 1 species